rnacentral:rRNA from 1 species
AGCGAACGCUGGCGGCAGGCCUAACACAUGCAAGUCGAGCGCCGUAGCAAUACGGAGCGGCAGACGGGAGAGUAACACGUGGGAACGUACCCUUUGGUUCGGAACAACCCAGGGAAACUUGGGCUAAUACCGGAUAAGCCCUCACGGGGAAAGAUUCAUCGCCGAAGGAUCGGCCCGCGUCUGAUUAGCUAGUUGGUGGGGUAAUGGCCCACCAAGGCGACGAUCAGUAGCUGGUCUGAGAGGAUGAUCAGCCUCACUGGGACUGAGACACGGCCCAGACUCCUACGGGAGGCAGCAGUGGGGAAUAUUGGACAAUGGGCGCAAGCCUGAUCCAGCCAUGCCGCGUGGGUGAUGAAGGCCCUAGGGUUGUAAAGCCCUUUCGGCGGGGAAGAUAAUGACGGUACCCGCAGAAGAAGCCCCGGCUAACUUCGUGCCAGCCGCCGCGGUAA